rnacentral:rRNA from 1 species
AUGGGUGGCGAGUGGCGGACGGGUGAGGAAUACAUCGGAAUCUACCUUUUCGUGGGGGAUAACGUAGGGAAACUUACGCUAAUACCGCAUACGACCUUAGGGUGAAAGCGGAGGACCUUCGGGCUUCGCGCGGAUAGAUGAGCCGAUGUCGGAUUAGCUAGUUGGCGGGGUAAAGGCCCACCAAGGCGACGAUCCGUAGCUGGUCUGAGAGGAUGAUCAGCCACACUGGAACUGAGACACGGUCCAGACUCCUACGGGAGGCAGCAGUGGGGAAUAUUGGACAAUGGGCGCAAGCCUGAUCCAGCCAUGCCGCGUGGGUGAAGAAGGCCUUCGGGUUGUAAAGCCCUUUUGUUGGGAAAGAAAAGCAGUCGGUUAAUACCCGAUUGUUCUGACGGUACCCAAAGAAUAAGCACCGGCUAACUUCGUGCCAGCAGCCGCGGUAAUACGAAGGGUGCAAGCGUUACUCGGAAUUACUGGGCGUAAAGCGUGCGUAGGUGGUUGUUUAAGUCCGUUGUGAAAGCCCUGGGCUCAACCUGGGAAUUGCAGUGGAUACUGGGCAACUAGAGUGUGGUAGAGGAUGGCGGAAUUCCCGGUGUAGCAGUGAAAUGCGUAGAGAUCGGGAGGAACAUCUGUGGCGAAGGCGGCCAUCUGGACCAACACUGACACUGAGGCACGAAAGCGUGGGGAGCAAACAGGAUUAGAU